rnacentral:rRNA from 1 species
GACGAACGCUGGCGGCGUGCCUAAUACAUGCAAGUAGAACGCUGAAGAGAGGAGCUUGCUCUUCUUGGAUGAGUUGCGAACGGGUGAGUAACGCGUAGGUAACCUGCCUUGUAGCGGGGGAUAACUAUUGGAAACGAUAGCUAAUACCGCAUAACAAUGGAUGACACAUGUCAUUUAUUUGAAAGGGGCAAUUGCUCCACUACAAGAUGGACCUGCGUUGUAUUAGCUAGUAGGUGAGGUAAUGGCUCACCUAGGCGACGAUACAUAGACGACCUGAGAGGGUGACCGGCCAUACUGGGACUGAGACACGGCCCAGACUCCUACGGGAGGCAGCAGUAGGGAAUCUUCGGCAAUGGGGGCAACCCUGACCGAGCAACGCCGCGUGAGUGAAGAAGGGUUUCGGAUCGUAAAGCUCUGUUGUAAGUCAAGAACGGGUGUGAGAGUGGAAAGUUCACACUGUGACGGUAGCUUACCAGAAAGGGACGGCUAACUACGUG